rnacentral:rRNA from 1 species
GACGAGCGCUGGCGGCGUGCUUAACACAUGCAAGUCGAACGGAAAGGCCCUGCUUUUGUGGGGUGCUCGAGUGGCGAACGGGUGAGUAACACGUGAGUAACCUGCCCUUGACUUUGGGAUAACUUCAGGAAACUGGGGCUAAUGCCGGAUAGGAGCUCCUGCUGCAUGGUGGGGGUUGGAAAGUUUCGGCGGUUGGGGAUGGACUCGCGGCUUAUCAGCUUGUUGGUGGGGUAGUGGCUUACCAAGGCUUUGACGGGUAGCCGGCCUGAGAGGGUGACCGGCCACAUUGGGACUGAGAUACGGCCCAGACUCCUACGGGAGGCAGCAGUGGGGAAUAUUGCACAAUGGGCGGAAGCCUGAUGCAGCAACGCCGCGUGCGGGAUGACGGCCUUCGGGUUGUAAACCGCUUUCGCCUGUGACGAAGCGUGAGUGACGGUAAUGGGUAAAGAAGCACCGGCUAACUACGUG